AGAGAGGGGCUGGGCCAUCCCUUUUCUCCACAGGACUUCUGUAGUCCAUGAGAAUUUGCUCGUUGCAGCCACAACACACGGAUCCUGCUGGUCAGAGUCCACAUCACAAGUUAACAGAUUCUUAGGUUCUAGAGAUUCAGACAUGGACAUCUCUGUCUACCAUAUAUGUGAUCUAAAAGGGUCCUUUUUGUAGAUUCUUGAGGUCUUUUUACACAGAUGAUUACACGGCAUGGUCUGAAUGCUUUCUGCCUUUCCACAAAGUUCAUAUAUUUCAAUCCUACCCCUCAGAGGUUAUGGCAUUACCAAGUAGGCCUUUUGGAGGUAAACAGGUCACGAGGCUGGAGUUCUGAAUGGGACUAGGGCAUGAAUAAUAGAAACCUGAUUUCAAAGGAUAUUGAAGACCUAAAUGACUUAAUUCAUAUAGACCAUACUCUGAAAACACAGAUGAUAACUUCUGUAGAAUAUUCACAUAAAAUGAUAAGUUUGGUAAAAAAAAAAUCAAUUAAGUCCCCAGUGAAAAAAUUCAAGGAUCAUUCUGAUUUUGGAGCAGUAAACUAAAAUGAACAAAUAGAGAAGUAUACUUUCCCUUUCCACCAAAGACUAAAGAUUGUGUUUCUCUGGCCAAGUUGAAACACCACAAAUGUCUCACCAGAAAAUAAUGGAGCACACCAGGGCAAGCCAGGGCAGACUGGUACAGAAGUGAGCAGACCAGAGCGGAGUGGAGCAGAGCAGCAAGGAACAGAGCAGAGCUGUCUAGCUGGAGAAGGACCUUAUCCCAGGACCAUCUGGUCCCAGGUCUGCCUGCACCCAUCGUGGCCUCACAACUGUGCUGUGACACAAUUAAGUUGUUUUGCACUGAAUGAAGUCUCCUGUUUCAACACACACCAAACUAGGGAUUCCUGCUGGCAUUUAAUUGGCAUCAAUGGUCAUUAGUUAACAAUACC